ACUAAAUUCAAAAUAUAGAUUUUCCAAACGAAUUAUCUUCCGUUCGCACGUUCUCCUUUAUCCAGUUCCGAUUUCACAAAUUUCACACAUUUUACACACAUUCUCUCACUCUUUCCCACACCCACCAGCGCUUUCAAUGAUUCUCUCUAUUCCUUCCACAGCGAAGCUGUACGCCUGCUCAACUACACCUAGGGUUUCCGCUUCCCAUUCCUCUUCCAGGAUCUCUUACUUCGUCAAGUCCGUCGGCUGCGGCGGAGCUCGGAGGCGGACUCGCUCUUCAUGUCUUCUCUUCUGUGCGUCGAAUCCCUGGGGAACGGCGGAGAUGCUCGACGAGAGGAAGAGCUCCUCGAAUGCUGCGGCGGCGACGCCGGCGGUCGCCUCCAGCUCCGCCUCUGAUCACCAUGACGUAUCUCCGCCUCGAUCAUUCCUUGACGCGCGUAGUGAACAAGACAUGCUUUUGGUGAUGCAAAAAGAAGCAGAAGCUGGAAGAUUGCCAAUUAAUAUAGCUCAGGGGAUGACAGAACUGUAUCACAAUUAUCGAGAUGCAGUUUUGAGAAGUGGACAUCCCAAAGCUGAUGAGAUUGUAAUGUCUAAUAUGGCUAUUGCCUUGGACCGUAUUUUCUCAGACGUGCAGGAUCCAUUUCAGUUCUCACCAUAUCACAAUGCCAUUCGGGAGCCAUUUGAUUAUUACACGUUUGGUCAGGAAUAUAUCCGACCUUUGGUUGAAUUUAGAAAUUCAUUUCUUGGCAACAUCUCCAUAUUCAACGAAAUUGAAAAGAAGCUUGAGCAGGGUGAGAAUGUUAUUUUAAUGUCCAACCACCAGACGGAAGCUGAUCCAGCUGUUAUAGCUUUGUUGCUUGAAUCCACUAACUCAUUCAUUGCUGAGAAUCUGAUAUAUGUGGCUGGAGAUAGGGUUAUUACAGAUCCUUUAUGCAAACCCUUUAGUAUGGGCAGGAAUCUUCUAUGCGUGUAUUCCAAAAAACAUAUGAACGAUGAUCCUAAGCUCACAGAUAUGAAGAGAAGAGCAAACACAAAAAGCUUAAAAGAAAUGGCGCUGCUUUUGAGGGCGGGAGCAAAAAUAAUAUGGAUAGCCCCAAGUGGUGGAAGGGACCGCCCAGAUCCUGUUACGAAAGAAUGGUAUCCAGCACCUUUUGAUGCAUCCUCAGUGGACAACAUGAGAAGGCUUGUUGAACAUGCUGGAAGUCCUGGUCAUAUAUACCCCUUAGCAAUAAUGUGCCAUGAACUUAUGCCGCCUCCAUUGGAGGUGGAGAAAGAGAUUGGUGAGCGACGAGAGAUAUCCUUUCAUGGAGUUGGGGUAUCAGUUGCGCCGGCAAUUGAUUAUCACAAAAUUUAUUCAGCUUUGGAUGAUCCUGAUGAGGCAAAGUCCAUGUACUCGGAGUUGCUAUAUUCAUCUAUCUGCCAGCAGUACAGUGUUCUCAAAUCUGCAAUAUAUGGCAAACAAGGUCUCAAGGCGUCAACCCCUACGGUCUUUCUUUCACAACCAUGGAUGUAGUUCACUUUUGAGCCAUUUUUUGCUUUUCCAAAGGUGAGAGAUGUUUUGACUCGGCCACUGACACCAUUGGUCUUAAUUGAAUCCAAGAAGGCGUUGGCAACUGCAUCCCGAGUUGAGGUGGAGCGGAACCUAAUUAUCAGCAAGUUUUCCGACAUAUACAACGACGCCUUAAGCCUUUGCAUUUGCCAUCUUCAAAGCCUUCAGUUGUGCAAAUUAUCUUGCAGUUGUGAUCACGCCAACAUUGACCUUUAAAAUUUUCACUUGGUGAUGUACAAAUCCUACCCAUGGUUUCCGCUGAAAUAUCACUUGUUGAUGUACAAUUACCUAGAGGAGGCCAGAGCUAAAACCACGACCAACAACAGUGUAUACAAGUACUUAAUCUUCAUCGUUGUCAACUUUGUCUGUAUUUUUCUUUUAAAUUUCGCUUUUUCCUGUGACUAUGAGUGACCAUAUAUAUUACAUUAAAAUGGACGAGAGGAAAGAGAAUAUAAUUUGCUUAAAUUUUAA